rnacentral:misc_RNA from 1 species
UUUCUCUCUCUCUCUCUCUCCAUGAACCAAAAUCAGCAAUAAAACAAAACUACAAUGGACAAACUAGUUCACCAAAACACUCAAAAACCGCAAUUUGAAAAUGAUUUGCAGUUUAAAAAGAUCAUAUUAGAAAUUUAUUAACAAAAAAUUGGGCUCUAUUACUAUGCCAGAAAUCAAUUCAACAAAACGCUUAAAAAAACUUGAAAAAAAUUAUAAAUAGAAUGCAUUAACACCUACUAUAUCCAAACACCAAAUUCCCUUUUAGCCCAAAAAAAAUCUUUCUCAGUAAGCUUUGGUAUCUCUUGAUUGAGAGCCAAUUAUUUUUCAAAUUAAGAAGAAAUGCUUUAAAUUUUGCUCAAAAGAAGAAGAUUGCAACAUAUACACAAGAGCAAUGGCUUUGGCAAAAUAAAAAUUUUUCUCUUUCCCUAUUUGUCAUCUUCCUCUCUCCUACUAUGUAUCCUCUCUCUCUCCUCCGAUUUAAAAUUACUAAACAUCAAUUCCUAACAAUCAAACAUCAAUUAUCUAAUAUUACUGCGCAUCAAUUCUUCAUAAUCAAACAUCAAUUCUCCAAAAUUACCGUAGAUAAAUUUCUAAUGAUCAAACACCAAAUCUUUAAAAUUACCACACAAAAAAACAAAAAACCCACCAAAUUUAACCAUCAAACAAAGAACAAUACAAAAAUUCUUAUAUCUCAAAUGAGUGUGAAGGUGCGCAGAGAAACUAAUUUUUGCUUUAAGAAGAGCAAGGUAUUUUAUGGUGUUGUCAAAGAAGGAAAAACUAGGUAUUGGGGAUGGCAUCUUUACCAGGAAUUGAGUCUUUGAGAGGAAAAGAAAAGAAGCAGAAUGGGUAUUGGGUAUUUUUGUACAUAAAACAAAACAGCUCAUUGGCAAGGAUUGUGGUAAGGAAUCGUUGACAGUUUCUCUUCGGUCAUCUCUAUUUUGAACAUCGAUGGUGGUGGUGGCGGCACUGGUGCGUGGGUAUGUUUUUAUGGUUUUUCUUGUUUUUGGGUUUGAUGAUGAAUUAAGGCGAGAGUGAUUUUUCUUGCGAAAGGUUUGAUAGGGAAGGCAUGGGAGAGAGAGUAGAGAGACAUCAAUGGAGAGAGAAGAGAGAGACAAGAGAGAGAGAAUUUUUUUUAUUGUUAAAAUGCUACGUCCACAUAGCCUUCUCAUUGGAGAUUUGAUCGGAA